GACGAACGCUGGCGGCGUGCCUAAUACAUGCAAGUCGAACGCAGUGGGGACGGGUGAGUAACACGUGGGUAACCUCCCAUCAGAGGGGAUAACACUUGGAAACAGGUGCUAAACCGAUACUGAUGGAUGGAACCGCGGUGCAUUAGCUAGUUGGUGAGGUAACGGCUCACCAAGGCCACGAUGCCUACCCGACCUGAGAGGGUGACCGGCAAAACUGUGACUGAGACACGUCCCAGACUCCUACGGGAGGCAGCAGUAGGGAAUCUUCUGAAAGUGACGAAAGUCUGACCGACCAACGCCGCGUGAGUGAAGAAGGUUUUCGGAUCGUAAAACUCUGUUGUUAGAGAAGCGGUAUCUAACCAGAAAGCACCGGCUAACGCCGUUCCAGCAGCCGCGGUAAUAC
rnacentral:rRNA from 1 species